GACGAACGCUGGCGGCGUGCUUAACACAUGCAAGUCGAACGAUGAAGCCGGAGCUUGCUCUGGUGAAUUAGUGGCGAACGGGUGAGUAACACGUGAGUAACCUGCCCUUGACUCUGGGAUAACUGCGGGAAACUGUAGCUAAUACCGGAUACGACCAUCGGAGGCAUCUCCUGGGGGUGGAAAGAAUUUCGGUCAAGGAUGGACUCGCGGCCUAUCAGCUAGUUGGUGAGGUAAGGGCUCACCAAGGCGACGACGGGUAGCCGGCCUGGGAGGGUGACCGGCCACACUGGGACUGAGACACGGCCCAGACUCCUACGGGAGGCAGCAGUGGGGAAUAUUGCACAAUGGGCGCAAGCCUGAUGCAGCAACGCCGCGUGAGGGAUGACGGCCUUCGGGUUGUAAACCUCUUUUAGCAGGGAAGAAGCGAAAGUGACGGUACCUGCAGAAAAAGCACCGGCUAACUACGUGCCAGCCGCCGCGGUAA
rnacentral:rRNA from 1 species